GGAAAACGAAGAUCCACAUGUGUAAAUAAACGGGAACUACAGUUCAAAGGCAGUCACACACUUGUCAUUCUUGUUUCUUCCUCUCAUGACAUGGAAAGGCAGGUAGAAAGAUCUCUUGAAGGUUGCUCCGAAGCCCGUGGGAGUGAAUGUUCCGGUGGACUUGGGGCUCUGCUGACGGAGGCCGGGCCACAAGGGGACAAUGCUGGCACCAGGCCCAGUCACCUCUGUACCACUCAUUAGUAGUCUGGUUGGUGGCCGCCAAAUACAGGGCAAAGCACAGCUCCUCUUGGGCAGCAGUGUGUGCCUGGCACGACCAGUAGCUGCCGGACAUGGUUCUUCCAGGAGCCUGGAUCUGGC
rnacentral:antisense_RNA from 1 species